rnacentral:rRNA from 1 species
AUGGAGCACAAGGAGACCGGCUGCCAGUCUCGUGAGGGCCCCAUCCUUUGCGUCAAUAACUGCGGCUUCUUCGGCAGUGCGGCGACCAUGAACAUGUGCUCCAAGUGCCACAAGGAGAUGGCGAUGAAGCAGGAGCAGGCCAAGCUGGCCGCCUCCUCUUUUGACAGCAUCGUCAACGGUGGUGAUGCCGCGAAAGAACAUCUUGCUGCUGGCAACACGGCGGUGGCAGUUGCUCACGUAGAGGCGAAGACGCUUAUUACCGCACAGCCUGCUGAUAUCGCCGGUCCCAGCGAGGCGGCGAUGGAGAACCCCAAAGGCCCAAGCCGGUGCAGCACCUGCAGAAAGAGGGUCGGGCUGACCGGAUUCAACUGCCGGUGCGGGAACCUCUACUGCGCGACGCACCGUUACUCGGACAAGCAUGAGUGCAAGUUUGACUACCGCGCCGCGGCCAUGGACGCCAUCGCCAAGGCCAACCCGGUGGUGAAGGCGGAGAAGCUCGACAAGAUCUAG